rnacentral:lncRNA from 1 species
AAAAAAACUAGGAGGAAAGAAGAAGAAGAAGAAGAAGAAGAAGAAGAAGAAGAAGAAGAAGAAGAGGAAGAAGAAGAGCUAGUAAAAAUAGCAGCAAGAGUUGAGAGGUGGUGUGGAUCUUUCCAUAGCAAAAAGGCCAAACACAUCUGUUCAAUCCCAAAGAGAAGAACAAACCUUUCUGCAGCAACAAUCCCACCCCAGGACUUGGCAGCUGGUAGGAAGAGAGGUGCAGAUCUGCAGGAGCAAACCAUCACAUUCCGAUGUAUCCUCUCAGUCUUCAGAUGUGCAACCAGUUCAAGACCAAAAUCUCGCACUCAACUGACUAGAAACAUUUCUCAGCUAUUAUGUUUGAAUAUCUGUGAUUGUGUCACUAUGAUAACUUCUCUAUUGGUGAAGGUAAUGGGUUGUCCUCACUAUUGUCAAAUCCAUAGUUGCUGUGGCCAAUCUUCUGAUGUUGGGUCUCUAUGUUCUGAAAUACACUUGUUCUCGAAUGCAGAAUAUCCUGAUCAUACGGAAAGCCACAACAAUAUGGUAGAACUUUUAUUUAUUUUUCAAAACCAAUUUGAAAUACUUUUAUGACCUUAUAGUACAAAGAGUAUAAACAUAGCCUUCAAGAACUAAGGAUUUAUGGCCACAUCAUGGUGAGGUAACAGAAGAAGGAUUUUAGUCCAUACAUGGAGAGGAGGAAUGAAAACUCCAUUCCCUUUGAAACCAAUAAGUAGAUUUAUCUGCACACCUUGAGUUGGCAGAGUACUUCAGGAAUCAGUUUGUAUCUUGAAGGUCUGCCAGACACAAAUUAUUCUUGUUAUAGCCAUAAUCUUGGCUUAAAAAAUUAAGGGAGAAAAAUCCUGCUUACACUGAAGAAUCUUGGCAGGAGACAUUGGUGAAGUAGUUGGCUGCGUUAGGGUAAACACUCUUCCAACUAUAUCAAGAUUAACUUUGUUUCUGCCAAUGCACUACUCAAGAUGGCCUGUGUAGAACUGGAAGAAAUCCAUAGCUAAAAUGGGAGUUUGGAAAUUAUAUUUUUUAAUUCAAUAAAUCGGCUUCCAGAUUCUCUCAGCCAGCAUGUGUGAUUUUUUUGCACCUUUCUAAGUUUUCUUCUCAAUGUUCUUAUAGCCAUAUUACAAUCUGACAUACAUGUGCCAUACUUUGUCACAUUUGCCUUAGACCAAAAAAUCAUUAAUACUGUCAUACUUACAUCAUGCAUCAUGCUUUAUCAAUGUCUUUCAAAGAUGCUUUAGGACUGCAGAACUCAUGAUCUGGUAUGUUCAUAACAGAUUAGCUACGUGCAAAUAAUAGGAAAUAUUUAGAAUGAUUCCCUUCAUUGUUCAGGACUUCCAGCAUUUUGCAUGAUUCCUUAAGGAAUGUAUCUUAAUUUUCUUCACUAGAGCAAAUUCUGCCACUGCAAAGUAGCAACCAGUAGACAUUUUGCAUUUUUAGGAGGGAAAAAUAUUACCAGUAUAUAAAAUCUGACAUUGAACGCAAAUGAGUUUCACUGGAAAAAUAAACACCACUCUUGUACAAUUUUGGCAUGUCAAUGUUAAACAACAUUAGUCCUCAUUACAGAUUAAUGAGCUGAAAAGAAAUUCAAUAGUAAGCUAAAAAUCAUCCUUAUUCUACCAUUUGCUGAAUAGAGUGCAAUUUUAAAAGCAAGUUAUCAACAGCACUUAACAUGGAUGGUGCCGGAACUCUUCAAGGAGAGUGCUGAAACAUAGUGAUUAAAAACACACUCACACACAGCUACAACUCAGCUCACCAGGGAUAUGUAGACCUAUAUAUGUGUUGUUGAAAAACUACUACUAUGAUCCCUGAAUACUAGUCAUGCUGUCUGGUGGGAAAUGAAGCCCAUCAACCUAUGGAGUGCCAUAAGAGUCCCAGGUCCGAUGCACAUAUUUUUCUGAUUAUAUACCAUUGCAUUUUGCAGAAUUGACUUUUGAGUUGUAUGAAUAGUCUUAUAAUACAGGUAUAGUACUAUAUCCUACAUAACAGAAUUAAUGCCACUUUAACCACUUUAACUGUCCUAACUCAAUGCCAAGUAAUCAUGAGUGUUGUAAUUUUACAAGGUCUUCAGCCUUCUCUGCCAAAAGUACUGGUGCCUCACCAGACUACAAAUCUCCAAAAUAUUUCUGAAGAUACAACCUCCGGUUAGCUUCCAUGAUUAUACAUGAUCUGAUGCCUUUAAGGUAUUUAAGUUUUUCAAUGCUGAAUGUUUCAUAUGAAAUCCAGAAAUUCCAAAAGUUCCAUGCUUUCCACAAAGGGCUUGCUUACAAAAAUCUUGGUGCUCUGCUCCAUAGUUAUUACAGACAACCUCAAAUUGCUCAAUAAAAAAUGU